GACGAACGCUGGCGGCGUGCUUAACACAUGCAAGUCGAACGGUGAAGCGCCUUCCUUUUUGGUGGGUGUGGAUGAGUGGCGAACGGGUGAGUAACACGUGAGUAACCUGCCCCCUUCUUCUGGAUAACCGCAUGAAAGUGUGGCUAAUACGGGAUAUUCUGGUUCUGUCGCAUGAUGGGUCUGGGAAAGAUAUUGUUUCGGUGGGGGAUGGGCUCGCGGCCUAUCAGCUUGUUGGUGGGGUGAUGGCCUACCAAGGCGGUGACGGGUAGCCGGCCUGAGAGGGUGGACGGUCACACUGGGACUGAGACACGGCCCAGACUCCUACGGGAGGCAGCAGUGGAGAAUACUGCACAAUGGGCGAAAGCCUGAUGCAGCGACGCCGCGUGAGGGAUGGAGGCCGUCGGGUUGUGAACCUCUUUCGCCAGUGAAGCAGGCCUGCCUCGUUUGUGGGUGGGUUGACGGUAGCUGGAUAAGAAGCGCCGGCUAACUACGUG
rnacentral:rRNA from 1 species